rnacentral:lncRNA from 1 species
CUUCAAUUAUUCCUAUGGAUGGGGAAUGUAACGUUUUCUGUUUGAAAAUGUAAAAUCGAAUUGGUCUUUGGAAAGCUGAGACAUCAGGAGUGCAAGAGCAGCUUGAGCAACAUGGUGGAAUCCCAUCUCUACUAAAAAUACCGAAAUUAGCCCAGCAUAGAGGCAUGUGCUUGUAGUCCCAGUUACUUGGGAGGCUGAGAUGGGAGGAUAGCUUGAGCCUGGAAGGUCAAGGCUUCAUCAAGCCUGCAAUGAGUCAUGAUCUGACUACUGCACUCCAGCCUGGGGAACAGAGUGAGACCCUACCGCAAAAUGAAAACAAACAAACAACAACAAAAACAAAAACAGAGAAAAGAAAAGAAGAAAAAAAAUCUAAUUUGAUAUUGAAUGGAAAGUUGGUGUGUAAGCAAAAAGGAACAGAAGCCGUCAGUAAAGCAGGGCAUAAAUGUGCUCUUAGCAAACCAAAAGCAAUUCUCAUGGGUCAGUUGCGGAAGAACUUGCAAGGAAUUUGGAAUCAGAAGACAGAAAUUCAUUCUUGGCUCUGCCACUCACAUGUGAUCUUCUACUUGUUAGCUAAAUUUCUAGUGCCUAAAGCAGCCAGAUAACCCUCAAUGAGCCCUUGUGUCAUCCCUUUCCUCCCAGGAUAAGGUUUCACCUUUGUGGCCAAUAGUGCAUGGCAGAAAUAAUGUGCUGACACUUGUAAGAUUAGGUGAUAAAAACAGGCUUCUGUUAGAGGCAUGUAUUCCUUCUCUCUUACUCACUUUAGGGGAAGUCAGCUGCCUUGUCUUGAGGAUACUCAGGCAACUCUGUAGAGAAGCUUAUGUGGCAAGAAACCGAAAGUUUCAGAGAACAAGGAAAUGAGGACUCCAGCCAUUUGCUUCUCGGAAGCAAAGACUGAAUUUCCAACCAGUGCUUUACAUGAUGAUGCAGUGAUCAAAACAUCAUGAGUAACUGAACAAAAACCAUCCAGCGAUGCCAUUCUGGGAUUCCUGACACUCGGAAGUUGUAAAAUACACAUGAAUAAAUAUUUCUUACACAGUACCUCUCUUGUACAGCCUCAUCUCUAAAAAUAAGAAUAAUGGUUUCUUCACAGAGUCUUGGAGGGUUCAAAAGAGAGCAAGUUGCAAACUAUAAAGUAUCAGUACAAAUGCUAAUUACUAAAUGUAUUUCACAAGUCCAUUUACCACCUUCAGGUUUCCUGGGUGCUCUAAGAUUUCCCUUAUUUCUCCUUAAUAAAUCACCAAGAGUUACU